rnacentral:rRNA from 1 species
AAGUCGAGGGGCAGCACGGUGUAGCAAUACACUGGUGGCGACCGGCGCACGGGUGCGUAACGCGUAUGCAACCUACCCAUAACAGGGGGAUAACACUGAGAAAUUGGUACUAAUACCCCAUAACAUCAGGACCGGCAUCGGUUCUGGUUGAAAACUCCGGUGGUUAUGGAUGGGCAUGCGUUGUAUUAGCUGGUUGGUGAGGUAACGGCUCACCAAGGCAACGAUACAUAGGGGUUCUGAGAGGAAGGUCCCCACAUUGGAACUGAGACACGGUCCAAACUCC